CGUCCGCCCCGCGCGAGCCUUCGCCCCGACCCUCUCCUCCCCCGGCGCCGCGGGAGGAGGGACCGGGGUGAAGCGUGCGGCCGCCAGCCGCCCCCAGGCAGCGGCCCCGGCCUGCGAGCGAGUUCCGGCGCUCCCUGCACUUCUCAGGAGUCGGGGUUCGUUAACCAGUUCCGGGACCGACCCGGACACACCCAGGGCGGGCGCUGUGCCCCCCAGAUCGUGCCCCUCAGACUCGACUCUGAUCAGAUGUGCUCCCGGAGUUCUUCACCCGCAUCAAGCCAACCGUGCCGGUUGCACUGAAUUCCCAGUCGCUCUGCUUCCAGGGGUCAUCUGAUAAGCUCGGCGCGCUCCGCGGUCGGUACACUGGGGGUUGGAUGCCAACUCAGGAAUUACGCGCACUGUACUCCGGAAUGGAAGUCCUGCCGGUGGGUUCCUUGUCAGUAAAAUGGAAAUAAUCCGUCAGAGAAUGAGAUGCAAACGCAAAUGGAAUGCUUAGGACUGAGCCCUCACAGGGGAAACAUUUACACUGUUAUCUAAUGUUAGUACCUUAAAGAAGCAGUGGUUUAUCUAAAUCUAACAAUAGGUGAAAAAUUAAAUUAAACUCCUUCAGCCUACUGACACUUCCCUCUUCUUUCUGGGCUAACCUUCUGUGAAACAAGUUGCUCCAGAAUAUUAAUCUUAAAGUACACAUUAUGCCGCACCCAAGAGAUCUCUAAGGACCUUCUCCCUUUGACAUUAAAACCUAUGAAAAUAAAUAAAGGAAAUAUUUUCUAAAAUGGAGUGAGAGAGCCAUGAAGGGGCAGUCAGGUACCACUCCUUGCAGCUUACACGACCAGCAGAAAGAAGGAAGAAAAUAAUUAUCUUGACAAGGGGGUAUAUUUUUUCAAAUAGGACUUUCAUCUCCUGCUUUUAAGAAAAAGAAGGAAGAUCUCUCUUUGCCCCAGCAACAGUGCACUAACUAGCCAUUACUUUUCAGCCAAUGAGAAAUCUCCACAACCUCAAACUCUUGUUCUUUUCCAAUAAAUUUCUAUUUUUUGCCUCUAUUGAUUAUUUUUAACUGAAGAAUAACUGCAAUACAAUAUUAUAUUAGUUUCAGGUAUACAACAUAGUGAUUUGAUAUGUAUAAACAUUAAGAAAUGGUUACUAAAAUAAGUCUAGUUACCACCUGUCACUAUAAAAAGUUAUUACUAUAUUACAGAAUGUAUUCCUUAUGCUGUACAUUACAUCCCCGUGUCUUACUUAUUUUAUUGCUGUAAGAUUGUACCUCUUAAUUAAUCUCUUUUACCUAUUUUAUCCCCAUACCUCCCUCUCCUCUGGCAACUAUUAGUUUGUUCUCUAUUAUCUAUGAGUCUGUUUCUGUUUUGUGUUGUUUGUUCAUUUGUUUUAUUUUUUAGAUUCCACAUGUAAGUGAAAUCAUAUGGUAUUUGUCUGAUUUAUCUGUCUUAUUUCACUAAUUAUAAUCCCUUUAGGUCCUUCCAUGUUGUCACCAGUGGCAGGAUUUCAUUCUUCUGUGGCUGAGUAGUAUUCUUGUAUAUAUGUAUUAAAUCCUCUUUAUCCAGUCAUCUACUGGUGGACACCUAAGUGGCUUCCAUAUCUUGGUUUUUAUAAGUAAUGCUGCAAUGAACAUAGAGGUACAUGUAUGUUUUUGAAUCAAUGUUUUCAUUUUCUUUGAAUAAAUACCCAAAAGUGGAAUUGCUGGA